AAGGAAAACCUUGAUUAUCUUCACCGGUGUAGAAGCUACAAAGCUGAAUUUUUGGAUGACUCACCUCAUCGAUGAAUUCAAUAGGCACACAAAAUUUCAAUAGAAUAUGACUUAGCCACACAUUCUCAGAUCAGCAGCCUACGAGACUAUAAGGAAAUACAACAAGCAAAUCAUCAAAGAGUGGAAUCCAGAAUAAUGAAGGACCUGGAUUUGAACCCUGAGGGACACCUUAAAUAACAAUCAUGGCAGUAAUGGAUCUACAUAAUGGAGUUUUUGUACCAAAAACAACAAAUAUGGGACAAAAUAAGAAGCAAAAUCUGGGCUUGAUGAAGAGGAAAGAGGAAGAGGAAAAUCAAAUAUCAUUAAUUGGUAGUUUAAACGUGGUGAAAUGAGUGCAAUAAACCUGAAUUUUUGCUUCGAUAUGUUACAAUGGAUGAAACAAGGUUCUAUCAUUUCACUUCGGAGUCCAAUCAACAGUAAGCUGAGGGGACUGCACAAGAUGAACCGAAUCCAAAGCGAGGAAAAACACAACAGUCAGCUGGCAAGGUUAUGGCGUCAGUAUUCUGAGAUGUGCAAGGUAUAAUAUUCAUUGAUUACCUCCAAAAGGGCCAGACCAUCAACAGCGAUCAUUAUAUAGCGUUAUUGGAUCGUUUAAAAGAUCAAAUCGUUAAAAGACGGCCCCAUUAAAAAAAAAAGGUGAUGUUUCAUCAAGACAAUGCACCGUGUCACAAAUCAUUGAAAACAAUGGCAAAAUUGCAUGAAUUGAGCUUCGAAUUGCUUCAGCAUCCACCGAAUUCACCAGAACUGGCCUCCAGCGACUUUUUUUCUGUUCUCAGACCUCAAACAAAUGCUCGCUGGAAAGAAAUUCAGCACCAAUGAAUAAGUAAUCGCCGAAACUGAGGCCUAUUCUUAAGCGAAGACAAAUCGUACUACAAAAAUGGUUGAAAAGUUGUAAUGAUGUAUUUCAAAAACUCAACGUGUAGAAUAUCUUAAAUAGUAGCAAAAAAUUCGAGAAAAAUACUUACUUGAUAUCAGGAUCUCGCUCGUUCAUGCGCCUAUGGAAGAUCACAGAAAUGUUUAUUGUAUUAUAGGAUAUGUGAUUUAUUAUUAUUAUAUAAGAUCCUCCUGAAAUUCGGCAUCAACGUUUGAGUGAUUAUAUUAGAUGUACAAACUAAAUUUCAACCUCCUACGAUCUUUUGUUAAGGAAAGAAUGGUGGAGGUUGAUUCAAUUUUUCUCACAAACUUUCAAGAUGAGUCGGAAUAUUUUACCUUUGGAAAAAUUCUCUCAGUUAUAAUCUAAGAUGUGAAAUAGAAUAGACAUAUAUUCUCGGCGAAUUACCUGAUUGUACAAUGACAAAAGAGAGACAAGUGCAUUCAGAUAUUUUUUUCUUCAAUCCCCUGUAGAAUCUUCAGAUCAAGUCCUUAGUGAUAGAAAGAUAUUAGCUCGAUAUACAUCCAAUAUCCUAUCUUUCAACUAGGAUCAACCUCUUUAUACUGAGAACUCUUUUGUAAUGAAAAGAGACCCCUUUUUCAACGAAAAAAAAGGUUAAUCUUCAGGUGAGUUGGUAAGGAGCAAAUGUUCUGCUACUGUUCUUUUAUGAUGAAUAUUUAUAAUCUUGAGGGCAGCCUGGUUUUGGUCUGCUGGCACAGCUUAACGUCAAUCAAAUUCACGAGUCAAAAAAAAGUAACAGGUCUCUGGACGUUGCUACACAUUGCGUACAAGAAUUCAAUCUCAUGGGCGGGUAUAACUCUUUAAUAUAAUUUUAGAGAGGAUCAGUCUGAAAGAAUCGUUCGAUGCAAUACCAGCGAAACGAAAUGAAAUCUAAAUGUCAA